rnacentral:misc_RNA from 1 species
UUGAGAACAAGGUAAAGUUUGAUUCUUUGGAGGAAACGGAGGAUGAUAUUCAGGUAAAGUUUGAAACUUUGGAAGAAACUGUAGAAUCUAUGGAGGAAACUGUUGAGUUAAAGCUUGAAUCUUUGGAGGAUCUUAAAGUAGUAGAAGAAGAAGGGAUGGUUUUCACUGAGGUUGUUAAACCAAAAAAGAAAAGGGGGAGACCACCCAACAAAAAUAAGGGAAAACUAAAAUUGGAGGAAGACACAGGAAAAGAGACUUGUAUUAAGAAAAACACGAAUCUUGGUAGGAAAAAGAAUCAUGUUCAAAAAAAGAAUCAUGUCAAUGAAAAAGAAGACGAAAUUGAUAGUAUGAGAGAAGAGGAA